UACAGAGGGGGCAAGCGUUGUUCGGAAUUACUGGGCGUAAAGGGCGCGUAGGCGGCCUUCUAAGUCGAACGUGAAAUCCCUGGGCUCAACCCAGGAACUGCGUCCGAUACUGGAAGGCUUGAAUCCGGGAGAGGGAUGCGGAAUUCCAGGUGUAGCGGUGAAAUGCGUAGAGAUCAGGAGGAACACCGGUGGCGAAGGCGGCCCUCUGGGUCGACCCUGACGCUGAGGCGCGAAAGCGUGGGGAGCGAACAGG
rnacentral:rRNA from 1 species